CUUCAACGAGCCCAACAGCAGCGGUUCGUCCCGGUCCUGGCCGUAGGUCGCCAACAAGGCCUGUGCUUC
rnacentral:antisense_RNA from 1 species